rnacentral:rRNA from 1 species
UACGGAAGGCAGCAGGGGGAAUAUUGCACAAUGGGCGCAAGCCUGAUGCAGCCAUGCCGCGUGUAUGAAGAAGGCCUUCGGGUUGUAAAGUACUUUCAGUCGUGAGGAAGGUGUUAAGGUUAAUAACCUUAGCAAUUGACGUUAGCGACAGAAGAAGCACCGGCUAACUCCGUGCCAGCAGCCGCGGUAAUACGGAGGGUGCGAGCGUUAAUCGGAAUUACUGGGCGUAAAGGGCACGCAGGCGGUUAAUUAAGUUGGAUGUGAAAUCCCUGGGCUUAACCUGGGAAUGGCAUUCAAGACUGGUUAGCUAGAGUCUUGUAGAGGGGGUAGAAUUCCAUGUGUAGCGGUGAAAUGCGUAGAGAUGUGGAGGAAUACCGGUGGCGAAGGCGGCCCCUGGACAAAGACUGACGCUCAUGUGCGAAAGCGUGGGGAGCAAACAGGAUUAGAUACC